UAGAGUUUGAUCAUGGCUCAGGAUGAACGCUAGCGACAGGCUUAACACAUGCAAGUCGAGGGGCAGCGGGGAGGUAGCAAUACUUCCGCCGGCGACCGGCGCACGGGUGAGUAACACGUAUGGAACCUGCCCGUAGCAGGGGGAUAAACGGAAGAAAUUCCGUCUAAUACCGCGUAAUAACUCCGAGAGGCAUCUCAUGGAGUUUAAAGGGUAACACCGGCUACGGAUGGCCAUGCGGCGCAUUAGCUAGUUGGCGGGGUAACGGCCCACCAAGGCGACGAUGCGUAGGGGUUCUGAGAGGAAGGUCCCCCACACUGGUACUGAGACACGGACCAGACUCCUACGGGAGGCAGCAGUGAGGAAUAUUGGUCAAUGGGCGCGAGCCUGAACCAGCCAAGUCGCGUGAGGGAAGACGGUCCUAUGGAUUGUAAACCUCUUUUGUCGGGGAGCAAAAGACGCCACGUGUGGCGUUCCGAGAGUACCCGAAGAAAAAGCAUCGGCUAACUCCGUGCCAGCAGCCGCGGUAAUACGGAGGAUGCGAGCGUUAUCCGGAUUUAUUGGGUUUAAAGGGUGCGCAGGCGGAAGAUCAAGUCAGCGGUAAAAUUGAGAGGCUCAACCUCUUCGAGCCGUUGAAACUGGUUUUCUUGAGUGAGCGAGAAGUAUGCGGAAUGCGUGGUGUAGCGGUGAAAUGCAUAGAUAUCACGCAGAACUCCGAUUGCGAAGGCAGCAUACCGGCGCUCAACUGACGCUCAUGCACGAAAGUGUGGGUAUCGAACAGGAUUAGAUACCCUGGUAGUCCACACAGUAAACGAUGAAUACUAAUUGUUCGGGGAGAAUGAUCCCUGAGUGAUACAGCGAAAGCGUUAAGUAUUCCACCUGGGGAGUACGCCGGCAACGGUGAAACUCAAAGGAAUUGACGGGGGCCCGCACAAGCGGAGGAACAUGUGGUUUAAUUCGAUGAUACGCGAGGAACCUUACCCGGGCUCAAACGACACAGGAAUACUUUUGAAAGGAGGUAGCUCUACGGAGUCUGUGUCGAGGUGCUGCAUGGUUGUCGUCAGCUCGUGCCGUGAGGUGUCGGCUUAAGUGCCAUAACGAGCGCAACCCCCAUCGCCAGUUACCAGCAAGUCAAGUUGGGGACUCUGGCGAGACUGCCGGCGCAAGCUGUGAGGAAGGCGGGGAUGACGUCAAAUCAGCACGGCCCUUACGUCCGGGGCGACACACGUGUUACAAUGGCAGGUACAGAGAGAAGCAAUGCGGCGACGCAAAGCGGAACUUGAAAGCCUGUCUCAGUUCGGAUUGGAGUCUGCAACUCGACUCCAUGAAGCUGGAUUCGCUAGUAAUCGCGCAUCAGCCAUGGCGCGGUGAAUACGUUCCCGGGCCUUGUACACACCGCCCGUCAAGCCAUGGAAGCCGGGAGUGCCUGAAGUGUGCAACCGCAAGGAGCGCCCUAAGGUAAAACUGGUGACUGGGGCUAAGUCGUAAUCAAGGUAGCCGUA
rnacentral:rRNA from 1 species